GCAGCUGAAGCUGAGAGGAAGAGGAGGAAGAGGAGGAAGAGGAGGAGUUGAUCUGUUCCUGAUCUCUAAAGAGACUCAAACUUCCUCCUUCAGUUCAGUUCAACUCUCCAACAUUAACUCUGCUCAACAUGGACUAUUAUGGUCUGUCUCUGCUCAUCAUCUCUCUGCUAACAGGUGUCAGCUGUGAUCAACUUACUCCUCUUGAUAAGGAAGUCUUCAGAUUCGACGGCAGCUCUGCUAAUGUGUCCUAUAAGUCUUCAAAACAAGCCACAACUGAUUCUUUCUUCUGGUAUCGACAAUAUCCUGGAAAACCUCCAGAGUUCCUGAUCUCCCACACAGGAACAGGAACUAAACUCCAGGAUCCGGUUCCUGGUUUCUCCUUCAACAUGAAUGCUGAUAAAACCCAGAUGGAUCUGCUGAUCUCCUCUGCUGCAGUGACAGACUCUGCUGUGUACUACUGCGCUGUGCAGCCCACAGUGACAGGAAACACCAGAACCCUGUACAAAAACCUGCAGCCACCAGGGGGCGCCAUGCUCCAGUUGGCGGCGCUCUCCUUGUGCUCUGUGUUCCAGCAUUGUGUCAAUAAGAAGUGGUGCUGUGAAGAGAACAAUAGUCAGACUGAAUGUUGA